CGCGUAGGUGGUUAAGUAAGCGAUCUGUGAAAGCCCCGGGCUUAACCUGGGAACUGCAGGUCGAACUGCUUGGCUAGAGUAUGGUAGAGGGGUGUGGAAUUUCCUGUGUAGCGGUGAAAUGCGUAGAUAUAGGAAGGAACGUCAGUGGCGAAGGCGACACCCUGGACCGAUACUGACACUGAGGCGCGAAAGCGUGGGUAGCGAACA
rnacentral:rRNA from 1 species